AUGCAAGCCUGGCUGCCUGUCAGGCCCCUUGUGCAUACAGCAGCUUGGCAUUUGCCAGUGAAAAGUAACUUUGUUUUAAAAUUUUUUAGGUGGCCUUUUCCUCUUUGAACUUGUUGCUGCAAACCCAAGCUCUUCUCUCUUCUAUUAACUACCUGACAACCAUCCUUCCCUCUGAUGGGCAGAGCAUGGGCGGCCCACCAGGGGUGCAGAUCUCCACUGAGAAGCAAACAAAUUCCUCUCUGCAGAAAGUGAUUGUAUCCUCUAAAGACAGUGAUGUUACUGGCUUCAGACUGUUUGCCAAGUUAAAUGCUUUCUGUGUCACCAUUUGCAAUGAGAAGAGCAGUAUUGCUGAAAUCAGGAUACAAGGCCUCGACUCUUCCCUUUCUCUUCAGUCAAGGAAGCAGUCACUUUUUGCCAGACUGGAAAAUAUUAUUGUUACAGAUGUUGAUCCUAAGACAGUUCAUAACAAAGCUGUGUCAAUAAUGGGAAAUGAAGUUUUUCGUUUUAACUUGGAUUUGUACCCAGAUGCGACUGAAGGGGAUUCAUACACUGACAUGUCCAAAGUGGAUGGCGUGGUGUUGCUGAAUGUUGGCUGCAUUCAGAUUGUCUAUCUUCAUAAGUUCCUUGUGUCCCUUUUGAACUUCCUGAACAAUUUCCAGACAGCCAAAGAGGCCCUGAGCGCAGCCACCGCGCAGGCUGCAGAAAAGGCCGCCACCAGUGUGAAAGACCUUGCCCAGCGGAGUUUGCGCUUCUCUGUCAGCAUUAAUUUGAAAGCACCCGUUAUUGUCAUCCCACAGUCUUCUGUUUCCAGCAACGCUGUUGUGGUGGACCUUGGUUUGAUCAGAGUUCAGAACCAGUUCAGUCUUGUGUCUGGGGAAGGGUCUGUAAAUCCUCCUGUGAUUGAUAGAAUGGAUGUGCAGCUCACGGACCUGAAGCUGUCCAGGACAGUAAUCCAACCAGGCACCUCCCAGCCUGAUAUUCAGCUGUUGCACCCAAUUAACUUUGAGUUUUUUGUAAAUCGAAAUCUCGCUGCAAAUUGGUAUCAUAAGGUACCUGUUGUGGAAAUUAAAGGACAUCUUGAUACAAUGAAUGUUUGUCUAAAUCAAGAAGAUCUUAAUGUUUUGUUUAGAAUACUGUCGGAAAAUCUUGGUGAAACUCCUGAAGAGUUAGAUAACGUGAAACCAAGAGUACCAGAGACAGGUAAGAGAUGCACAGUAGGUGGCUAAUAUUUCACAGUUAUUUUGCAGUUUGAUAGACAAUAAGAAGACAUCGUUCUCUUCUCUGUAUGGUGGGUUGGGAUUUGAAUCCAGAGUCUAGGAGUUAAGGUGCACAUACUACCCCUGUGCUGUACCUGCAGCCCAGCACAGACAGGACACGUGAGGUAAGCAGGUACACAUUCAUGAUUUGGAUUUGUAUUACCAGCAAAUAAACAAAGUGCCACCCAGUGGAAAUGUGUUAACUGGACACGCUGCUGCCUGCUGAUGGCCCAGCAUUUAGGAGCCUGAGGCAGGAGAGUUGUCCUGAGUUCCAGCCUGUGCUACGUGGCGAGUUCAAG
rnacentral:lncRNA from 1 species